GAACCGAAUCCCUUAUCACCGCGCGGCUCGCGGGAUAAGAACUCACUUCUUUGAACGCCGUGUUCUUCGUCUUUCUUAGUUCCUUCAACGUAUCGCACUGGUCCGUGGUACAUUGGGAUUACUGCAAGCUGCCCGAGGCGUGACGCCGCUUUGUAAGCGAAGUUUUCGCUCGAGUUGUUGUGCAAGAUAAUCUUCAUCGUCCCAUAAUGUAAUAAUGAACAACAAACCUGCUGUGGAUAUCAUUGUUGCUGCGGCCAAUCCUGACCUCCCCUUAAUCAAACCAAAGUGGUUGAGGGGCAGUAUAACUUGGAUCCCCGUCUCCACCACACCAACACCGCCACCACUGAUUUCGCCAGAGUUUUGAGAAAAUAGGUCAUAUGCUGCUGAUCCAGGCGUAGCCUUCCUCGGAAACAUUGCCCGUCUAUGACGACGAACAAAGAUAAGUCCGUCAACUGUGUGAGAAAUUAAUAGACAACAAUUUUAGUUAAUUAAUGAAGUAUUGGAAUUUAUUUAUUUUCAGAAUUGAUCCGGUGCUAAUUUGAAGACGCAAAUCUCGGAAUUUUGUCGUAUUGUCGCUGCUGUUGCUGCUGCUGCUGCUGCUGCUACUACUCGCGGCUGGUGAUGCUCGAAGGAAUGAAACAAUCUAUACUGGAGAACGAGCGGAUUCUUUUAUAAGCGGAGGAAUAUAUGCGUUUUCACUUCUCUCAUAUCAAUAUGAAUUCAUGGAAAUCUUGUACGAGAUGCAUCCCAUGUGGACUUCAAUUCGCCUCAGCAAGGCGGUUCGAAAAACACGUUGCGAAUCACAGAAGGCCUUUUAGAUUAUAUAUGUCCGCAUUGCAUGUAUGAGGACAGCGAUAUUUUUGCUGUAAAUAAUCAUAUUUUGACGCACAUAAAAUCUUCUACGACGGCAGCAAGCAGUCGACAGACAGGAUCGA